AUGACUCCCCUGGUCUAUCCCUAGAUGACCAGCUGAGCGCAACCACCUUGGUAACUGUCGGCUCCUAGCAGCCACCUCCAUUGUCGUCACCUCUAGCUACCUUCAAGAUGAUUCUUAGGACCGUAGGAAUGUCCCAGAAAAAUGGAGUUGCUAAAGCUAAACUAAAAGAGUAGUUAGAAUUACAGUUUAUGUUGGAGUUUGAGCCUGACUCUUGUGCCUAAUUUGGUUUAUAAUACCAUACAUCCUCUUCUUGAAGCUCACAAACAUCAUCUUCCACUUUUGCAUUAUUGUGGCUGAAGAGAAGGAGGAGGCCACCAUGCAAAUCUUUUUCUUCUUUUGCUGGAACUAAAAUGAAUUCAAAAGUUUCUAAUUUCAUAUGCCUCCCCUCCUAAAUUUACAGAGAUAAGA
rnacentral:lncRNA from 1 species